rnacentral:tRNA from 1 species
AUUCAGAUAGUUUAAUAAAAAUAUUGGUUUGUGAUACCAAAGUUAUAAAAUUUUAUUUUGGAUA